rnacentral:rRNA from 13 species
UGAAACAUCUAAGUACCCGGAGGAGAAGAAAACAAAAGUGAUUCCGUAAGUAGCGGCGAGCGAACGCGGAUUAGCCCAAACCAGUGUUGUUACGGCAAUACUGGGGUUGUAGGACCACGACAUUUGAUGCAUGAUGAACUAGAACAAGUUGGAAAGCUUGGCCAUAGACGGUGAUAGCCCGGUAUAGGUAAAGAAUGUUAUUGAUAGUGGUAUCCUGAGUAGUGCGGGGCACGUGAAACCCUGUAUGAAUCAGUCGGGACCAUCCGAUAAGGCUAAAUACUCCUGAGAGACCGAUAGUGAACUAGUACCGUGAGGGAAAGGUGAAAA